rnacentral:rRNA from 1 species
UCCAGACUCCUACGGGAGGCAGCAGUGGGGAAUAUUGCACAAUGGGGGAAACCCUGAUGCAGCGACGCCGCGUGAGUGAAGAAGUAUUUCGGUAUGUAAAGCUCUAUCAGCAGGGAAGAUAAUGACGGUACCUAACUAAGAAGCCCCGGCUAACUACGUGCCAGCAGCCGCGGUAAUACGUAGGGGGCAAGCGUUAUCCGGAUUUACUGGGUGUAAAGGGUGCGCAGGUGGCAGGGCAAGUCGGCGGUCAAAGCGCGGGGCUCAACCCCGCCCAGCCGUCGGAACUGCCGGGCUAGAGUGGGCGAGAAGUGCGCGGAAUGCGUGGUGUAGCGGUGAAAUGCAUAGAUAUCACGCAGAACUCCGAUUGCGAAGGCAGCGCACCGGCGCCCUACUGACGCUCAGGCACGAAAGCGUGGGUAUCGAACAGGAUUAGAUACCCGUGUAC